ACUCAAAUGAAUUGACGGGGGCCCGCACAAGCGGUGGAGCAUGUGGUUCAAUUCGACGCAACGCGAAGAACCUUACCUGGGCUCGAAAUGUAGUGGACCGGGGUUGAAAGAUCCCUUUCUCGCAAGAGACUGCUAUAUAGGUGCUGCAUGGCUGUCGUCAGCUCGUGUCGUGAGAUGUUGGGUUAAGUCCCGCAACGAGCGCAACCCUUAUUGCCAGUUGCUAACGCGUUAUGGCGAGCACUCUGGCGAAACUGCCCCGGAUAACGGGGAGGAAGGUGGGGAUGACGUCAAGUCCUCAUGGCCUUUAUGUCCAGGGCUACACACGUGCUACAAUGGGUGGUACAAACCGUCGCAAACCUGUGAAGGGGAGCUAAUCGGAAAAAGCCAUCCUCAGUCCGGAUUGGAGUCUGCAACUCGACUCCAUGAAGCUGGAAUCGCUAGUAAUCGCGGAUCAGAACGCCGCGGUGAAUACGUUCCCGGGCCUUGCACACACCGCCCGU
rnacentral:rRNA from 1 species